UGCGCAGGCGGCUUACUAAGUCAGUGGUGAAAUCUUGCGGCUUAACCGUAAAAUUGCCAUUGAUACUGGUAAACUUGAAUUCAGUUGAGGUUGGCGGAAUGUGUAAUGUAGCGGUGAAAUGCUUAGAUAUUACACAGAACACCGAUUGCGAAGGCAGCUAGCUAAACUGACAUUGACGCUGAGGCACGAAAGCGUGGGGAGCGAACAGGAUUAGAUACCCUGGUAGUCC
rnacentral:rRNA from 1 species